rnacentral:rRNA from 1 species
UCUCCUGGAACGGAGCGUCAUAGAGGGUGAGAAUCCCGUCUUUGGCAUGGAACCUCCCGGGGCUUCUGUGAUGCACUCUCGAAGAGUCGAGUUGUUUGGGAAUGCAGCUCAAAAUGGGUGGUGAACUCCAUCUAAAGCUAAACAUUGGCGAGAGACCGAUAGCGAACAAGUACCGUGAGGGAAAGAUGAAAAGCACUUUGGAAAGAGAGUGAAACAGUACGUGAAAUUGUUGAAAGGGAAACGCUUGGAGUCAGUCACGUUGACCGAGACUCAUCCAUUGCCCUUUUGGGCUUGGUGUACUUCUCGGCCGAUGGGCCAGCAUCAAUUUUGUCCCUCAGAUAAUGGCAGGGGAAAGGUGGCACCCUUAUGGGUGUGUUAUAGUCCCCCGUCGCAUGUGAGGGAUGGGAUUGAGGAACUCAGCACGCGCGCCUCUUGGUGUACGGGGCUUUGGCCCACGCUUACGUGCUUAGGAUGCUGGCAUAAUGGCUCUAAACGACCCGUCUUGAAACACGGACCAAGGAGUCUAACAUGCCUGCAAGUGUUCGGGUGG